rnacentral:rRNA from 1 species
AGUGGCGGACGGGUGAGUAACGCGUGAGAAUCUGCCUUGGGGUCGGGGACAACCACUGGAAACGGUGGCUAAUACCGGAUACGCCUUCGGGUAAAAGAUUUAUUGCCCUAAGAGGAGCUCGCGUCUGAUUAGCUAGUUGGUGAGGUAAGAGCUCACCAAGGCAGCGAUCAGUAGCUGGUCUGAGAGGACGAUCAGCCACACUGGGACUGAGACACGGCCCAGACUCCUACGGGAGGCAGCAGUGGGGAAUUUUCCGCAAUGGGCGAAAGCCUGACGGAGCAAGACCGCGUGAGGGAGGAAGGCUCUUGGGUUGUAAACCUCUUUUCUCAGGGAAGAAGCUCUGACGGUACCUGAGGAAUCAGCCUCGGCUAACUCCGUGCCAGCAGCCGCGGUAAUACGGAGGAGGCAAGCGUUAUCCGGAAUUAUUGGGCGUAAAGCGUCCGCAGGUGGCGAUUCAAGUCUGCUGUCAAAGCACGGGGCUUAACUCCGUAAAGGCAGUGGAAACUGAAUAGCUAGAGUGCCGUAGGGGUAGAGGGAAUUCCCGGUGUAGCGGUGAAAUGCGUAGAGAUCGGGAAGAACAUCGGUGGCGAAAGCGCUCUACUGGACGGCAACUGACACUCAGGGACGAAAACUAGGGGAGCGAAUGGGAUUAGAUACCCC